rnacentral:tRNA from 1 species
GGCGAGAUGGCUCAGUGGCUAGAGCGUCAAUUUACUUAUCGAAAGGUCCGCGGUUCGAAUCCGACCUUUGCCU